AUGGUGCACUGCAAGCAGCCGCGCAGGAGGCCCCAAGAUGCCGCCGCCGUCCCCGGGACGGCCGGUCGCGCGCGCGCCGGGGGCGGGGCCGCGCCCGCGGCGUCGGACCCCGGGUACAUGAGGCCGACCAGCAGCUCCGGCGCCAGGGCCGGCCGGGAGGUUGCAUCUGCGGCUGUUUCGGCGGCCUCCGCUCCCGCCGCGCAGCCGGUGGGGGCCAAGGCGGCGGCCCUCGUUGCGAGUACGCCGCGCGCGGCCAGGGCCACGUGCUCCUCCGCGCAGAAGAGCGCCCGCGGAGGCGGGGCCGGCGGGUGCGGCGGCGAGGGGCACCGCGCGUGCCGGUACGCCUACUGCACCUUCAAGGGCCACGCGCCCGCGGCGCCGCCGCUGGGGGCCUUCCUGGCGUCCCGGAGGCGCCUCAUCAAGACGGAGCAGAGCAUGAAGCACCGGGGCGUCUCCGCCUUCCGCGACCCCAAGACCAAGAAUACAAGCACCAGCAAUGCCGCCGGCAAAGGGGACGACGGGUUCUUCGUCCAGGUGGCGUGUCCCGGCGCCGGCGCCGGCGCCCGCCCCAAGACGGCGAGCUCGGGCUCCUGCUGCAGCGGCCUCUCCGCCGAGGAGGCGGAGUCUCCCUACGUCAACUUCGGCCGCCGGGGUCUCCGGUGCGGGAUGACCCACGAGUGGGCCGACCCGGGCGCCUCGGUGGACGGCUCCUGCGGGUCCAGCGACGUCAUCUCGGACGGCUUCGCCGACCUGCCGGGCACGGCGAGCUCUCCCCCUCCCUCUCCCGGACGCAAGGAGCAGAUUGGUCAACAAGAGGGGGAGGCUUCUUGGGUCGAUCAACAAGAAGCAGAGGAGGAGGACUCUGGUGCCUGCGACAGGUCUGAUAUCUCCGAGGAGCUGGGUCCAAAAUACGAAUGCAACAUGUCUAAAGAUUGUGGCAGCGUCUCUUCAGUGGAGUCCUCAAUGGAUGACAUAUCCAGUGCAUUUGGUGGGAUGAAUUUCCAGGAUGCAGGUGCUGAUGCCGCGGCAACCAGCCAGGGAACCAAGCUGACCAUGUCCAGGAGAAGGACGCCCAGAGGCGGGGAGCGAAUCCGGGCAUUCAACCCCAGGGCCCCCAACUUUCUUCCGGUGGCGCCUGAUCCGGAUGCUGAGAAGGUUGAUCUCAGGCAUCAGAUGACCGAUGAUCGCAAGAAUGCCGAGGAGUGGAUGGUCGAUUAUGCACUUCGGAGGACGGUGAACAAGUUGGCCCGUGCUCAGAAGAGGAAGGUGGAGAUGCUUGUCCAGGCCUUUGAGACUGUUCUGCCGCCAGUCCUGGGCGAGAACAAGUCCGACGACAAGAAAAGCUUUGCCUGCAACUGA
rnacentral:rRNA from 1 species